CUCUGACCCUCACUGAUGCCGAAUGUCACUGUAACACCAGUACUGCCUGUGCCGUGUUCCCCUCUACUCCCUGUAGCCAGGUCGGUGGUCCAGACAGUUGUCAGGAAGGAUGGUUCGGUUCCUACUGUCAGAAACAAAACAUAGCUUUGCGGAGAUCUUGUAACCAGAG
rnacentral:lncRNA from 1 species